rnacentral:rRNA from 1 species
AACGAACGCUGGCGGCGUGCCUAACACAUGCAAGUCGAGCGCGAAAGUUCCUUCGGGAGCGAGUAGAGCGGCGGACGGGUGAGUAAUACAUAGGUAAUCUACCUUCGAGCUUGGGAUAACCCCGCGAAAGUGGGGCUAAUACCGGAUAAGACCACGUAAUUAUUUUACGGGGUAAAAGGUGGCUUAUUUUUUAAAUGAGCUAUCACUUGAGGAUGAGCCUGUGGCCUAUCAGCUAGUUGGCGGGGUAAGAGCCCACCAAGGCUAUGACGGGUAGCUGGUCUGGGAGGACGACCGGCCACACUGGGACUGGGACACGGCCCAGACUCCGACGGGAGGCAGAAGUGGGGAAUAUUGGGCAAUGGGCGAAGGCCUGACCCAGCGACGCCGCGUGGGCGAUGAAGGCCUUCGGGUUGUAAAGCCCUGUCAUGCGGAAAGAACGACCCUGAGACGCAUACUCUCAGGGAGUGACGGUACCGCAGGAGGAAGCACCGGCUAACUCCGUGCCAGCCGCCGCCGUAA